UCACCUAACAUUUAGUUUCAUUUGGAGGAGUUUUUGACUAUCCGGUAACAUGGAGUUUUUUGAAAGACCAACACCUGGACGUAAAUGUUUGGGAGCAAUCUGUCAGGUCUCUUUCAAAAAAUUAAUUAACUCAGUUGUUUUUAAUCCCUGAUAUCAAAAGACACUAAGGCACGCGACCGCACAUCUUUACGCAGGGGGGAAAUAAGCAUUCACACACAAACACACAAAAUCAGCCGCUUAAUUGCAUGUUUAAAGAAAGGCUCUGCAGCACGCGCACGCGGAGCGGGUGCUGCUCUUUUAUUUCCACCUGUUCACAGUUCCGCACGCGCUUACAGCUCUUUGAUGUUGCUGUUUAUCUGCCCGCGCGCCGCCAAAAAGAGAGAGAGCGAGUGAGCUUUUACGCACGGAGCGCUCGCGCGGAGCAGCCUCACAUGACACCGCCGCAGCUCAGCUCAGAGCAGGCUCCGGCUGGCCGCCUUCAGCCGCCGCUCAAUGAAUGGAUUACCCGCACAUUCGCUUCACGUCACGGAUGAUUGUUCCCCCUCAUCAGCCGGCCGUCGCUGCGAUUCCACGGUCGCCUCGCCAGGACUUGCGGACACUACCAUGCGGCGGGGGUCGCUGGUCUGAGAGCGGCUGAAGAUUGAGUGGACGCGUGGCUGGCCGUCUGGAGAGCUCUCCGCGAAGUCAUGGUGUCCACGGCACCGUGAGAACUUUCCCCCCGUCGCUUCGCUACCCUCCUGUUUUUCCUCGGUUUUAGAUGUUCAUCAGCGGGCUCGUGCUUCCUCGGAAAUUUCUCCCCCGUUUCCCCCGUUAAUUAUGUUCACUUUUGCUGCUUUCUGCUACAUGCUGUCUCUGGUCCUCUGUGUUUCCCUUAUUUUCUUCGCAAUAUGGCCCAUAACGGCUUUUGACGAGCUCCAGGCUGACUUUAAGGUGCCAAUCGAUCAAGGCAAUCCACUCCAUGCGAUUCCCGAACCCCUCCUUU